rnacentral:rRNA from 1 species
GAUGAACGCUGGCGGUAUGCUUAACACAUGCAAGUCGAACGGGGUGCAUAGUCACCUAGUGGCGGACGGGUGAGUAACGCGUGAGAAUCUGGCCUCAGGUCCGGGACAACCACGGGAAACGGUGGCUAAUACCGGAUGUGCCAUAUUGGUGAAAGAUUAAUUGCCUGAGGAUGAGCUCGCGUCUGAUUAGCUAGUUGGUGGGGUAAAGGCUUACCAAGGCGACGAUCGGUAACUGGUCUGAGAGGAUGACCAGUCACACUGGGACUGAGACACGGCCCAGACUCCUACGGGAGGCAGCAGUGGGGAAUUUUCCGCAAUGGGCGAAAGCCUGACGGAGCAAUACCGCGUGAGGGAGGAAGGCUCUUGGGUUGUAAACCUCUUUUCUCAGGGAAGAAGAAUGACGGUACCUGAGGAAUCAGCAUCGGCUAACUCCGUG